AGAGUUGAUAUGGCUCAGGACGAACGCUGGCGGCGUGCCUAACACAUGCAAGUCGAGCGAGGAGAUCCUUCGGGAUGAUCCUAGCGGCGGACGGGUGAGUAACACGUGGGCAACCUGCCUCAUAGAGAGGAAUAGCCUUCCGAAAGGGAGAUUAAUACCUCAUAACAUUGCAGUUUCGCAUGGAACAGCAAUUAAAGGAGUAAUCCGCUAUGAGAUGGGCCCGCGGCGCAUUAGCUAGUUGGUGAGGUAACGGCUCACCAAGGCGACGAUGCGUAGCCGACCUGAGAGGGUGAUCGGCCACAUUGGGACUGAGACACGGCCCAGACUCCUACGGGAGGCAGCAGUGGGGAAUAUUGCACAAUGGGGGAAACCCUGAUGCAAGCAACGCCGCGUGAGUGAUGACGGCCUUCGGGUUGUAAAGCUCUGUCUUCAGGGACGAUAAUGACGGUACCUGAGGAGGAAGCCACGGCUAACUACGUGCCAGCCGCUGC
rnacentral:rRNA from 1 species